CUUCUUGCUACGGCAGAACAUAUACUAAAAUUGGAACGAUACAGAGAAGAUUAGUAUGGCCCCUGGGCAAGGAUGACACGCAAAAUCGUGAAGCGUUCCACAUUUUU
rnacentral:snRNA from 1 species